GAUGAAGAACGCAGCGAAAUGCGAUAAGUAAUGUGAAUUGCAGAAUUCAGUGAAUCAUCGAAUCUUUGAACGCACAUUGCGCCCGCCAGUAUUCUGGCGGGCAUGCCUGUCCGAGCGUCAUUUCAACCCUCAAGCCCCCGGGCUUGGUGUUGGAGAUCGGCGAGCCCCCCGGGCGCGCCGUCUCCCAAAUAUAGUGGCGGUCCCGCUGUAGCUUCCUCUGCGUAGUAGCACACCUCGCACUGGGAAACAGCGUGGCCACGCCGUAAAACCCCCCACUUCUGAAAGGUUGACCUCGGAUCAGGUAGGAAUACCCGCUGAACUUAAGCAUAUCAAUAAGCGGAGGA
rnacentral:misc_RNA from 1 species